UACGUAGGGUGCGAGCGUUACUCGGAAUUACUGGGCGUAAAGCGUGCGCAGGCGGUUUUGUAAGCCAGAUGUGAAAUCCCCGGGCUUAACCUGGGAAUGGCAUUUGGGACUGCAAGGCUUGAGUGCGGCAGAGGAGACUGGAAUUCCUGGUGUAGCAGUGAAAUGCGUAGAUAUCGUAAGGAAGACCAGUGGCGAAGGCGGGUCUCUGGACAGUUCCUGACGCUGAGGCACGAAGGUCAGGGGAGCAAACGGG
rnacentral:rRNA from 1 species